ACAACGAGAUCCAGCGUCUGCCCCCCGAGGUGGCCAACUUCAUGCAGCUGGUGGAGCUGGACGUGUCGCGGAACGACAUCCCCGAGAUCCCCGAGAGCAUCAAGUUCUGCAAGGCCCUGGAGAUCGCGGACUUCAGCGGGAACCCUCUGUCCCGGCUCCCCGAGGGCUUCACACAGCUGCGCAGCCUGGCCCACCUGGCUCUGA